UACGUAGGGUGCAAGCGUUAAUCGGAAUUACUGGGCGUAAAGCGUGCGCAGGCGGUUUUGUAAGUCAGAUGUGAAAAUCCCCCGGGCUUAACCUGGGAACUGCGUUUGAAACUACAAGGCUAGAGUGUGGCAGAGGGGGGUGGAAUUCCACGUGUAGCAGUGAAAUGCGUAGAUAUGCGGAGGAACACCGAUGGCGAAGGCAAUCCCCUGGGCCUGCACUGACGCUCAUGCACGAAAGCGUGGGGAGCAAACAGG
rnacentral:rRNA from 1 species